UGCUUUGCGCAGUGGCAUUAUCGUAACCAAUGAGAUUUACCCGAGGUGCGAUUAUUGCGAGUUAAUUAGCUAUAGCUAUAGCGAGUUAGUUAUUAAAAACUAUUAAAAAAAACUAUGAACCUUGCUUUCUUAGAAA